GCCAUGAUCGUAUAGUGGUUAGUACAUUGUGUUGUGGUCGCAAUAACCUGGGGUCGAAUCUUGGUCACUGUA